UCCGCUGCUGGCGACGUGAGGGGCUUCUGGGAGGGGAGGGCUGCCUUCAGCGGAGCGGUCUUUUCGACGCCAAGUGGAAGUAAUCUGUGGAGCUGAGGGAACCCGGCCCCGAUGCGAGCCCUGAGUGAGGGGCGCUGAGCGGAGAGCCCGGCAGCACCGGUUGCUGUGUGCUGGUGCCUGAAGCCCUCAGCAGAACCCCGCAGAGGUGGGCUGGAGCCCUGCUCCCCAUAACGGCACUGCCAAGAGCAUCCCACCAUGCGUGCAGCCUUUAGGAGCAGCUGGGCGUGUUGAAAGACCAUCUUCAAGGUGUCUUGAAAACUAAUGAGUCUACAUUAUGUCAUCAGUCUGGUAGGAUUGGGUGGAGACAUGACAGCCUUGGAAUGGGAAGAUAGAAUGGAAAGCAGUCAUUCUUGCUGUAAAAGGCUUCCGAAAGGACCGGGCUGAAAAUGUUUGCAUGCCGUAAGAAGGCACGCAAGGCUUUCAAGCAAACCGGAUUCCGUUCGGCUCCGUUCCGUUCCGCGCUCUCCCGCGGCUCACAGUCGCCCCCUGCCGGCCGCCGCCGGCCGCUCGCUUCCCGGAGCGGCGUCACGCUGCUGGUGGCGUCACGCGUAGAGCUACGGCUGGAACGAGUGAAGUCCGUGUUUUCUAAGUGCAGCAAUGCAGCUGGUUCAGCUGGCCUGGAGAAGAUAAUUCUGCGUUUAGUAAUAGUGCCGCAAUAGCGUGUUUUCUUGAUGUAACUCUUGGCUGCACGGUGAGUGUUAAAUUCUCAUUCCUUCACAUCGUGAGUUUCUUCCACUGACUGCGUUUUGCUGGGAUUAAGGUUGGUGGGAAGCUUAUUUCUUGACUCAAGCCCAAGUAACUUCAGCUUUUAAAUUUGGAAGUUUCUUAGAGCCUGGAUUUGCCAAGAGUGCCUGCUGCACAUAGCCCACCUCUAUCAUGUGCUGAAUUGACCAGAUGAACUAACACAGAAGUUGGGCCUUUCUUCCUCUGUCAUUUACACAGCACACUCACUUUAGUUCCAACUACUUUCAACUUCGGCUAUGCAAUCCUUGAGACAGAAAGUACAACAAGGAAGUUCCUAAGCACGAAAAGCUCCUUGGCUUUCCUGCCUCGGAGGGAGAGGAACACUACAGGAAAGAAUACAUCAGGAGUGGACGACUAGUGAAUGAGGCUCCACUUGGAUCCCAUCUGGAAACGGCUAUCAGCAUUAUAUGGAGCUUGAAAAGUGUUGUGUGCAAGUAGGAUUCUAAAAGCCUCACUUGGAACCCAAAUCUGAAAGCAUCCUGUUUUGUUGUGUUUUGGGUUUUUUAGUUUUUGUUUUGUUUUGUUUUUAUGCUAAAUGUUUCUAAGUUGUUGGUUUUAACUGGAACUGCAGGAACCCAAGGCUUUCAAUUGCAUGCAAACCUGCCCUAACCUGACACCUUUUACGAGCUUAAAAAAAAAAUAUCAGAGGAAUGUAGGCUUCUACCAGAGCCUGCCACCAAAGCGUGGAAACAUCCUGCCAACAUGUUUACUCACUGCUGUAAUGAACACAUGCAAGAUUAGAAAGUUUGUUUAGGUAUUACUGGAAACCUUUUUCCAUUACAAUCCUUUCAGCUGUUUCACAAGGACUGAGCAGGAAAUUUGGCCUUUGGGCUCACACGUAAGGUACGUGUAGUGGUGAGGGAAGACUUAGCAGUGCCAGCUGUAACCAGGGAGCUGCCUAGUGAGUGCACUGUGGGUCACUACCAGACUAAGGUACAGGAACUUGCAAUGACAUGAACAACAGAGGGAAUUAAGAGUCACAGCCUAAAUUGGCUCUUUUGUCAGUGUCAUGUAAUGUGCUUGGGAUAGUUUGCCUGUGUAUGGCACAACUGCAAUAUAAUUGCAAACAUCAAGAAAUGAGUAUGUAGACUUAUGUGGGUUGGGAUGGCUGUAACAUAAAUCUGAGGCAGGGGAGGAGCUGCAGCCCAGUGAUGCAAAGAGUUGAUUUCUCUGCUGUAUAAAACACAUCCUGUGAUUUCCUACUGCUUCUUAGUGUAGUCAAGCACAAACUAUUUAAGGCAGGGAUUCACUGUGCGUGCAAUUGUGUGUUAUGUAAUAAUAAUGAUGUGUCUAAUUGCUAUUGAAAAAAAAAGUAAUAAUAAUAAUAAUGGCUGUGAUUUCUGCCUCCCAAAGUAGUGCGUAUUUUCUUUGAAGUAAUCAGGGACUUGUUGCUAGGCAGUUAAUAUUUAAGGUACCUUAAAUAUUUUAAUGCGUCUAUGCCUGCUGUUUCUAGGCACCAAUAUUUGUUUAUGUUAUCAUUAUACAACCCUUUCUACCUUAUAUCCUUUGUUCAGUCUAAUCUAAUGGAUCCAUACAGUGAAAUUUCAGUCACGCUUUUUUUUCACAGAUAGCAGAUUUACUUUACUACAGUUGAGAAUGAUAAAAUCCCUCUGACGCAGAUUUCUUCUUUGUCAGGAUGUUUUGCAGUAAUGUUUUGCACUGAUACCAUUUAUUCUUUCUUUGCACAGUCCUUCUCCCAGGUGUGUUCUGUCUUUGUAAUGGCUUGGUGUGUAGGCAUGUAGUGAUUUUAAUAAAGGUUUGAAUUUAA